ensembl:lncRNA
GUUACGUACAGUUUAACUCCAGAGCCAAAGAUCCUGUCCCCUCACACAGUGACACAGACCAGUACAAAAACCUGUCUGAUGUUGAAUGUGACAGCUGAGGUAAAGCAGUGUCAUACACCGAUCAGACGUAACAUUAUGACUCUGCCUGAUUUUGUGUUGGUCCCUCUUUUGCUGCCAAAACAGUCCUGAGGCAUGGAUUCCACUCGACCCCUGAAGAUGUGCUGUGAUAUCUGGCACUGAGAUGUUAGCAACAGAUCCUUGAAGUCCUGUAAGUUGUGAGGAAGGACCUCCAUGGAUCACACGUGUUUGUCCUGUAGAUCCCACAGAUGCUCAGUUACUGGUUCACCACUGUUUCUUCCUUGGUCCACUUUUAAUGCAUAGUGACCACCGAAGCAACACUCCACAAACGCUGCAUUUUUGAAAAAGCCCGGUUGUCUGGAGUCUUAGAGUCACUUAGCCAUCACCAUUUUGUCAAACUCACUCAAAUACUUCCACUCGCCCAGUUUUUCUGCUUCUAACACACCAACUUUGAGGAGAAAAUGUUUACUUGCUCCUUAAUAUAUCCUACCCACUAACAGGUGCUGUGAUGAAGAGAUAAUCUUGUCACCUGUCGUGGUCAUAUUGUAAGGUCUGAUUAGUGUAUUUCAGCUCCAUGAUUUGGUUUAGUCGAGAUGAAUUAAUGUUGUAAAAACUGCAUGAAGCUGAAUAUUCUGCAUAACUUCUGCCUCCAGAUGAUGAGCUACCUGAGCUGACCUUUGUUUCACAAGUUUCUUCUUGUCCAAACAGCAGGUUGGCAGCUUCAUUCAGAAUUAAACUUCUCAACAAUGUUUUGAUGGAGUAGCACUGUAACAGGAUUCAUUUGCUGUGGUGGGCGUGUAGUCUGUGGCUCAGCUGCACAGGAGUUCAGGGGCAGUGUCAGGAGAGCCUGGUGGACACAGCUGACAGCGAUUGUCUGGAAUCAAUGAACGGUCUGCAAAGAUAAAACUGUGCAAAUAAGUCACUUUAACUGCACCAGCCGACCCAGCUGAGUGUGUUUUGGGACCUAGCAACAGCCAACAAGUGUUACAAUAUCAGUAUGCACUUUGGUCGUCCUCUGGCUUCUAAGAACAAAUAUCUGUCCAGCUAAACGGUUUCUUCUGUUUGUUCAAGAUUAUAAACACGGUAGAGACAAAAAAAAAAAAAAA